GAGAGCAAAGAAGCGCCGGGAGAGCCGGCCGGAGCCGAAGGUCCGGAGGCUUCGGUGGCCCCAUCAGAGGAAGGAGCCGGCAGCGAGGACGAAGCUUUUUGAGGGACGCGCUGACGGACGAGCAGUUGAAGGAGAAAGCUCUAAAUCAAGCAAAUGAUGCAAAAAGAAGAAGGAAAUAAACUUUUUAAGGCUGGGCAGUAUGAAAAUGCCCUAAUGCAAUAUUGAACUUGCGUUGCAAAUUGCCUCUGAAGUGCCUUCAUGCUGAAGUUUGUUCCAUAUGUCAUGCAAACCGCGGCGUAUGCUUCCUGAAAUUGG